rnacentral:rRNA from 1 species
GACGAACGCUGGCGGCGUGCUUAACACAUGCAAGUCGAACGGAAAGGCCCUGCUUUUGUGGGGCGCUCGAGUGGCGAACGGGUGAGUAACACGUGAGUAACCUGCCCUUGACUUUGGGAUAACUUUAGGAAACUGGGGCUAAUACCGCAUAGGAUCUCCUGCUGCGUGGUGGGGGUUGGAAAGUCUCGGCGGUUGGGGAUGUAGUCGCGGCUUAUCAGCUUGUUGGCGGGGUUGUGGAUUACCAAGGCUUUGACGGGUAGCCGGCCUGAGAGUGUGACCGGCCACAUUGGGACAGGGGUACGGCCCAGAGUGAUACGGGCGGCAGGAGUGGGGACUAGUGCACACUGCGCGGCGGCAUGGAGCAGGAACGCCGGGUGCGGGAUGACGGCCUUCGGGUUGUAACCAGCGUUCGCCUGUGACGGAGCGUGAGUGCCGGUACUGGGUAAAGAAGCACCGGCUACCUACGU